rnacentral:rRNA from 1 species
AUUGAACGCUGGCGGCAGGCCUAACACAUGCAAGUCGAACGAGUGGCGGACGGGUGAGUAAUGUCUGGGAAACUGCCCGAUGGAGGGGGAUAACUACUGGAAACGGUAGCUAAUACCGCAUACCAUCGGAUGUGCCCAGAUGGGAUUAGCGUGUAGGUGAGGUAACGGCUCACCUAGGCGACGAUCCCUAGCUGGUCUGAGAGGAUGACCAGCAAGAGUGGAACUGAGACACGGUCCAGACUCCUACGGGAGGCAGCAGUGGGGAAUAUUGCACAAUGGGCGCAAGGCGGAUGUAGCCAUGCCGCGUGUAUGAAGAAGGCCGUCGGGUUGUAAAGUACUUGCAGCGGGGAGGCGUUACUCGCAGAAGAAGCACCGGCUAACUCCGUGCCAGCAGCCGCGGUAAUAC